ACGAACGCUGGCGGCGUGCUUCACCCAUGCAAGUCGCACGGAAAGGCCCUGCUUUUGUGGGGUGCUCGAGUGGCGAACGGGUGAGUAACACGUGAGUAACCUGCCCUUGACUUUGGGAUAACUUCAGGAAACUGGGGCUAAUACCGGAUAGGAGCUCCUGCUGCAUGGUGGGGGUUGGAAAGUUUCGGCGGUUGUGGAUGGACUCGCGGCUUAUCAGCUUGUUGGUGGGGUAGUGGCUUACCAAGGCUUUGACGGGUAGCCGGCCUGAGAGGGUGACCGGCCACAUUGGGACUGAGAUACGGCCCAGACUCCUACGGGAGGCAGCAGUGGGGAAUAUUGCACAAUGGGCGGAAGCCUGAUGCAGCAACGCCGCGUGCGGGAUGACGGCCUUCGGGUUGUAAACCGCUUUCGCCUGUGACGAAGCGUGAGUGACGGUAAUGGGUAAAGAAGCACCGGCUAACUACGUG
rnacentral:rRNA from 1 species